rnacentral:rRNA from 1 species
UACGUAGGGAGCAAGCGUUGUUCGGAUUUACUGGGCGUAAAGGGCGCGUAGGCGGCAGAUUAAGUCAGCUGUGAAAUCUCCGAGCUUAACUCGGAACUGUCAGCUGAUACUGUUUUGCUAGAGUGCGGAAGAGGCGAGUGGAACUCCUGGUGUAGCGGUGGAAUGCGCAGAUAUCAGGAAGAACACCAACGGCGAAGGCAGCUCGCUGGGACGGAACUGACGCUAAGGCGCGAAAGCGUGGGGAGCGAACAGG